CGGCCCAAGCCUAGGCGGUCGCCCAAGGCUCCGGCCCAAAGAAAGGCCCCGCCCGAUAGUGACUCCUAUCUCCUAGCUGCAGUGGUCCGUAAAGGUUGAGGCGCAGAGACAAUGGCUACCUCGACAAGACGAUUGAGCCACUGAGGGUGAGUCGCCGCGAUGCCGUCCCAAUCCUAUCGCGGCAUUGCCCAUCGUCCCUUUCUUGAAAAUCCUCAUCGUCUUCCACUCCUCAAUCCUCAUCGUCCUCCUGACUCCUGACCUCCUCUUCUGCAGAUCUGCUUCAGUCUUCGGCUCUUCGCCGACCGCUCGCCGGCGCGGUCGUCUCCUCCACCUCCCCGGCAUCCCCCGGCCGCAGAACCGCCCGUGCCCACCUUGAUCUCCCGCAACCUCCUCGCCUCCCUCCCGUCCCCUGAGUCCCUGACUCCCNNN
rnacentral:lncRNA from 1 species